GAUGAACGCUGGCGGCGCGCCUAACACAUGCAAGUCGAACGAUUAAAGCACCUUCGGGUGUGUAUAAAGUGGCGAACGGCUGAGUAACACGUGGGCAACCUGCCCCUCUCAUUGGGAUAGCCACGGGAAACCGUGGAUAAUACCGAAUACUUCGGGACUUCCGCAUGGAAGACUCGAGAAAGCUCCGGCGGAGAGGGAUGGGCCCGCGGCCUGUUAGCUUGUUGGUGGGGUAAUGGCCUACCAAGGCAAUGAUGGGUAGCUGGGUUGAGAGACCGACCAGCCAGAUUGGGACUGAGACACGGCCCAGACUCCUACGGGAGGCAGCAGUGGAGAAUCUUGCACAAUGGGCGAAAGCCUGAUGCAGCGACGCCGCGUGCGGGAUGAAGGCCUUCGGGUUGUAAACCGCUUUCAGCAGGGACGAGGCGAAAGUGACGGUACCUGCAGAAGAAGCCCCGGCUAACUACGUG
rnacentral:rRNA from 1 species